AUGGUGGGAAGUUCCCUGCAUGAGGAGGGUGUCCAGCACUGUCCCAGUCACUGCUCUGAAAUCCUCGAGCUCCUCCAUCUCUCAGACAGCGUCAUCAUUCCUGGUACCCACAGCAGUCCGAGGUUAGCUGGCCGUGUUGGUGCAAGAUUCCCCUGCAGCAGACCCUGCCAAGGCAAACAGCAUGUGGCAGCUCCGUGCUGCUGGGUGCCUCCAUCACCCCAGCACACAGCCACAGCUGCUCACAGGAAGCACUUUUCCUUGCUGGGAAGGAAAAACUCGCAUUGAAUUUGGGGACUGGCAUUCUCCAGCUUUGGAAAACAGUCAAAAAUUUUGCAAAAAGAAGAUGGUUCCUGAGGUGUGGUUAGCUGGAGGAAGUCUUUGGUGGUGUUUGGCUGGUUUGUGUCUUACAUGAUUCUCUGUGUGCUUCCAGGUCCCAGUCAUGCUGCCUCCUUUCUCUUGUGGGUGUUUACCCAUAAUACCACUGGCAAUGGCCAAGGUGUUCUUGGGAACACCCAUGGUCCUUUGACUACCUCUUCUACAUCCUUCUUCAUCUCUGAAAAUAAACUAGAGUUUCUUCAAAAACACUUGCCCCACUUAGGAUGAUGUUAUUGGAAACUUCUGGCAAGUAAAAUCUGUGAUAAUUUAAUUCAGAAGGGAAUGUAGGGCUAAAAUGGGUGGGAGUAAAGAAAAAGGCUACUUGAUCACUUUUUAAAGUUAAUGUACAGCGGUGAUAAAUGAACUGUAAAGGAAAAGCUUUAUGGCAUUAGGUUGAGGGAUGCCUAGUAGACUGUAGAGUGAUUUCCCUAGGGCAGAGUAGGGUAUGGAUGGAGCCUGUGAUGUUUGUUGUGGCCAAAAGAGGCAGCGGAAAAAUUGAAUUACAGGCAUAGCCAAAGCAUUUGGGGCUUGAGAGUUUCUGUCAAGUGCAGAUGAGGAUGUAUUUGCACGCUUCUGACAGGAGAGGAGACCUCGGCGAAGGAGCAAAUCCUCCUCAUCUGUCGUCUCUCCUUCCUUGGCCGGUAGUACCGAUUACCAAGGUGUCCGGGGAGCAGCGAGAAUUGAAGUGAAACUGAGGGGCAGUGCCAAGGAGCGUACUGUGCCAGAGCAGCGGGCAGAGCUGCCCCGCAACCUUGAACAGGAACGCGUCUGAGCGGUGUCCAAGAGGCGUAUUAUUCUUCCUCUACCGCCAGAGUGCUAUUUGGCCCAAUUACUUUAAUAAUAGGUGCAAGAAGCACUAAAGCCUUUAUUUAAAAAAGAAAUAAAACAAAAGCCUGACAGGACUUGGUUUUUCUUCUCGGCUCCGGGCUGCCUCCCCUCUCCUCGCCCCGGGGUGAGGCACCUCGGCAGCGGCCGGGCUGUGGCGAGUCCCUCGCCGGUGGCGCGGAGGGGAAUAAAUAGCCGGGCGGCGGCGCGGAGCCCUCCGCUCCCGCAGCCCCUCCACGUCACUUCGCAGCGAGGCGAGCACGUGGGGCGGGGAGAUCGUAUAAAUCUCCCUCUCCCUGCGCGGCCGUGAUGUUAUCUGCUGGCACCCGUCCCCUCCGCGCAGGGAGAGCCGAGGGGCCGGGGGCGGCAGGCGGGGGGCGCCGGGCGGAGCGCUAGAGCCGCCGGGGACGGGGCCAGCCCCAGCCCCGCGAGGGAGGCCGGCGGGGGGGGGAGAGCGGCGCUGCGCUGCGGCCAGCCCCGGGCGGCCGGCUCCGCGCCUGCGACCCGCGGGAGACUGCCGGGGCGCGGCGGCGCUGCCUCGCUGACUGCGGCGCGGGGUUGGCGUUUCAGAAGGAGGAGGAAGAGGAGGGAGCUGGAAAGAGCUGUGCGGCGCGCAGCGGCCCGGGCGGGGGUGGGUCGGUGCAUGCGGCGCGGGGCGCACGCAGCAGCCUGCGGGACGCGGCCGAACGGGGGAUCGCCGCUCGCCG
rnacentral:lncRNA from 13 species